rnacentral:rRNA from 1 species
UCCGUAGGCGGUGCGGCAAGUCGGAAGUGAAAUCUCUGGGCUUAACUCAGAGGCUGCUUCCGAAACUGCCGUGCUCGAGUGCGAGAGAGGCAAGUGGAAUUGCGGGUGUAGCGGUGAAAUGCGUAGAUAUCCGCAGGAACAUCCGAGGCGAAAGCGGCUUGCUGGAUCGCAACUGACGCUGAGGGACGAAAGCUAGGGGAGCAAACAGGAUUAGAUACCCUGGUAGUCCUAGCCCUAAACCAUCAGGACUUGGGGUUUGCCCUGUACGGGGCAAGUCCCGGAGCUAACGCGUUAAGUCCUGCGCCUGAGGAGUACGGUCGCAAGGCUGAA